UACGUAGGGGGCGAGCGUUGUCCGGAUUUAUUGGGCGUAAAGAGCUCGUAGGCGGCUGUUCGAGUCGGGUGUGAAAUCCUGAGGCUUAACCUUGGGUCUGCAUUCGAUACUGGGCGGCUUGAGUCUGGUAGGGGGAUCUGGAAUUCCUGGUGUAGCGGUGGAAUGCGCAGAUAUCAGGAGGAACACCGGUGGCGAAGGCGGGAUCCUGGGCCGAUAUUGACGCUGAGGAGCGAAAGCGUGGGGAGCGAACAGG
rnacentral:rRNA from 1 species